GAUGAAGAACGCAGCGAAAUGCGAUACGUAAUGUGAAUUGCAGAAUUCAGUGAAUCAUCGAGUCUUUGAACGCACAUUGCGCCCUCUGGUAUUCCGGAGGGCAUGCCUGUCCGAGCGUCAUUGCUGCCCUCAAGCACGGCUUGUGUGUUGGGCCCCGCCCCCCGAUCCCGGGGGGCGGGCCCGAAAGGCAGCGGCGGCACCGCGUCCGGUCCUCGAGCGUAUGGGGCUUUGUCACCCGCUCUGUAGGCCCGGCCGGCGCCUGCCGAUCAAACAAACUUUUUUCCAGGUUGACCUCGGAUCAGGUAGGGAUACCCGCUGAACUUAAGCAUAUCAAUAAGCGGAGGA
rnacentral:misc_RNA from 1 species